CUCUGGUAAAAUGUGUUUCAUUGGGAGAUAUUAGAGCCUUUCUGUGGAAGUCAACACCACUGUUUUACAGGUAAGAUAUUAAAAGAAUUAUUCAGCUCUUUAGUGGAUAAAUUUGAAAAAAACCCCACAAGAACAAACCAACAAAACAACAACAACAAAAAAUCCCACAAAAACAAACAAAUAAAAAAACCACAAACCCCCCCCAAAAAAACAAACAAAACAAAAAACACCCAAAAACAAACCAACCAAACCAAAAGAAAACCAAAAAAAGCAAAACAAAACAAACAAAAAAACCCCCAAAAAAACCAACCAACCAAACAAACAAAAAAAACAACCCCACCAAAACAUGAAACUCUAAGUCAUUACAUACUCCUAACAGCCCAGCUCAGCCCUGUAUAUAUUUCAAAAUCAGGUAGAGUCUGUUCUAACUACUCUAAAACUUUAGGUAGAUUAUUUGUUUCUUGCCUUUUUUCCUUUCAUGGAGUAUAUGAAGAAGGAAUUGACUGAUUGAUGGCCAAGUCUAGGCCACAUGAAAAUUAUACUGAGAUAUGCAAACAAGUAGAAAGACAAACAUGAGCCACUUGUGUAGGCCCUUGAAUAAAAUUUAUAUGUAACCUGUCUAAAAUGCUCUACAGGUUUCAUAUAAAGAACACACAGUAUACUUUAAUCCCCUAUUGUUGUCCUACUUACUAUGGCAGUAAAUUAAAAGCCUAAUGGUGAACUGCAAAGAACAUCUGGAGUUACCUUAAUCCAUAAUUAAGUAUUCCUUGUUUUCAUUUCUUUUCUGUUGGCUGCCUUCUCUCCUUCUCCCAGUCUCUCCACAAACUCAGCCUUUUUUUUUAUUCAUUUUUUUCCCCCCCAGGGUAUAUUGGAAAAUAAAUUAGUCGGAUUUCUGCUAUCAGGAGUCUGUCAUUAGAGGGAUAUUUGUCUUUUUCUGCUUCCCUUGUGGUUUCUAUCAAAGGUUCAAGCAUGAGGGUUAUAUCUCUCUUUAUCUCCAUUGUGUUUUAACUCAGAAGAGAAAGAAAACAGGAAAGAUAUUUUAUCUCUUCAUGUACCGUAUAAAGAUCAGUUGCAUUGAGGUAGCACCCAUAUCUCUCUCCUGCUUCACAUGUCCACAGAUUGUUUGAGCCUUUUGACCAAACUGAAACAAAAAAAGAGAGAAUGUGAUUUAGAUAAGAUUUCCUCUGGGUUACUAAAUUAUUGGAAGUCUGGGUAAGAGUGCCAGUUUGUGCAGUCUUUAUACAACUUUUAGCUUAUUGUAGGUAUGACUUUCUAUAACUUUCAGAAAAGUAAAUACAGAUACAGAGAAGGAAAAUUUAAUUUUAUGAAAAAGCCAUUUGCUACAGUUGUUUUGUCAAUUUGAAAUAUAAUUUUAUCUCCUCCUUACAAAUAGGAAUAUAGGAUUAUCUUGAACCCACCAUGUAUUCUCAUCCCACAAAAUGCAAGAAACUACUUCACAAUACUACUGCUCAAACUACUACUACUCAAACUACUACUUCUACUACUACUACAAACUACUUCUCAGACUUUGCCUGAGAUUUCAAAGACCAACUGGCAUCAGUCAGUGUGUGACUUCUUUGAAUAAACACUCUGUGGAAGGUUUCUGUACCAUAGAAUGGAUUCUGGCAGCUAUGGGACCAGCUCAGAGCAAGUCCAACAAGUGGGAAGAAGCUGAAGUUCUCUGGUCUUCUAGUCCACAGUAAAAGAAUGAGCAUGUCCAGGAGAGCUCCCUCCACUUCCACUGUGGCUUGUGGAACAUUUUCCCAUUUUGUUACUCUGUGCACAUCUCCAAGAGCCUGCUUGUGUAAAGUUGCACGGUGCCAUAAAGGGAAGAAUGAUAAAUCAGUGGUGUAGUCUGCUGUCACCUUGAACACUGUGUUCUGUUUUGGUCAACUCAGCAUGGGAGGAAUAAAGAAGUCCUGGGAAAAGCAAUGAGAGUGACUAAGGUUUCCAUAUGAGAAGAAAUUAAAAAACUUGAAAACUA